UCUAAUGUGGCAGACUAGUGCAAUGAGUUUAAGCUUCAUAUAUAAAGUUAUCAUCUUUUAUUAGAA
rnacentral:tRNA from 2 species